CUGAAAUCAAACCCAUCACACCUGAGAGAACUGGACCUCAGUGGAAAUGUACUUCGGCCACACAAGAGUGAAUAAAUUUUAUGAUAUACUGAAGGAUCCAUGCUUUAAACUGGAGAGACUGAGGUUAAGGUCUUGUGAUAUAAAAGCUGAUGAUUGUUCAGCUCUGACUUCAGCUCUGAAAUCAAACCCAUCACACCUGAGAGAACUGGACCUGAGUCAGAAUGAACUAGGAGACUCUGGAGUU